rnacentral:rRNA from 1 species
UACAGGGGGGGCAAGCGUUGUUCGGAAUUACUGGGCGUAAAGGGUUCGUAGGUGGCCACCUAAGUCAGACGUGAAAUCCCUCAGCUUAACUGGGGAACUGCGUCUGAUACUGGGUGGCUUGAGUGCAGGAGAGGAAUGCGGAAUUCCAGGUGUAGCGGUGAAAUGCGUAGAUAUCAGGAAGAACACCCGUGGCGAAGGCGGCUCUCUGGGACGGUACUGACGCUGAGACGCGAAAGCGUGGGGAGCGAACAGG